rnacentral:rRNA from 1 species
ACUGCUCAGUAACACGUAGUCAACAUGCCCAGGGGACGUGGAUAACCUCGGGAAACUGAGGAUAAACCGCGAUAGGUCAUCACUUCUGGAAUGGGUAAUGACUUAAAUCUACAUGGCCCCUGGAUUGGACUGCGGCCGAUCAGGCUGUUGGUGAGGUAAUGGCCCACCAAACCUGUAACCGGUACGGGCUCUGAGAGGAGGAGCCCGGAGAUGGGCACUGAGACAAGGGCCCAGGCCCUAUGGGGCGCAGCAGGCGCGAAACCUCUGCAAUAGGCGAAAGCUUGACAGGGUUACUCUGAGUGAUUUCCGUUAAGGAGAUCUUUUGGCACCUCUAAAAAUGGUGCAGAAUAAGGGGUGGGCAAGUCUGGUGUCAGCCGCCGCGGUAAUACCAGCACCCCGAGUGGUCGGGACGUUUAUUGGGCCUAAAGCAUCCGUAGCCGGUUCUACAAGUCUUCCGUUAAAUCCACCUGCUUAACAGAUGGGCUGCGGAAGAUACUAUAGAGCUAGGAGGCGGGAGAGGCAAGCGGUACUCGAUGGGUAGGGGUAAAAUCCAUUGAUCUACUGAAGACCACCAGUGGCGAAGGCGGUUUGCCAGAACGCGCUCGACGGUGAGGGAUGAAAGCUGGGGGAGCAAACCGGAUUAGAUACCCGGGUAGUCCCAGCUGUAAACGAUGCAGACUCGGUGAUGGGUUGGCCUCGAGCCAACCCAGUGCCGCAGGGAAGCCGUUAAGUCUGCCGCCUGGGGAGUACGGUCGCAAGACUGAAACUUAAAGGAAUUGGCGGGGGAGCAC